rnacentral:rRNA from 1 species
UGCCAUCAUUAAGUUGGGCACUCUAAGUUGACUGCCGGUGACAAACCGGAGGAAGGUGGGGAUGACGUCAAAUCAUCAUGCCCCUUAUGAUUUGGGCUACACACGUGCUACAAUGGACAAUACAAAGGGCAGCGAAACCGUGAGGUCAAGCAAAUCCCAUAAAGUUGUUCUCAGUUCGGAUUGUAGUCUGCAACUCGACUACAUGAAGCUGGAAUCGCUAGUAAUCGUAGAUCAGCAUGCUACGGUGAAUACGUUCCCGGGUCUUGUACACACCGCCCGUC